rnacentral:rRNA from 1 species
CUGGCUCAGGAUGAACGCUGGCGGCGUGCUUAACACAUGCAAGUCGAACGCUGAAGCUCCCAGCUUGCUGGGGGUGGAUGAGUGGCGAACGGGUGAGUAUCACGUGAGUAACCUGCCCUUGACUCUGGGAUAAGCCCGGGAAACUGGGUCUAAGUACUGGAUAGGACUGGCCAUCGCAUGGUGGUUGGUUGAAAGCUUUUGCGGUUUUGGAUGGACUCGCGGCCUAUCAGCUUGUUGGUGGGGUAAUGGCCUACCAAGGCGUUUGACCGGGUAGCCGGCCUGAGAGGGUGACCGGCCACACUGGGACUGAGACACGGCCCAGACUCCUACGGGAGGCAGCAGUGGGGAUAUUGCACAAUGGGCGCAAGCCUGAAUGCAGCGACGCCGCGUGAGGGAUGACGGCCUUCGGGUUGUAAACCUCUUUCAGUUGGGAAGAAGCCUUUCGGGGUGACGGUACCUUCAGAAGAAGCACCGGCUAACUACGUGCCAGCCGCUGC